UCAUUUGAAUUGUUUUAAUGUGGUUGAGCGUUAGAAUCAUUGCUGGACUUCUGGUAGUACAUUCUUAGAGUCUUUAUGAAGUUUCAAUUGCUGUUUCAAAGCCAUUCUCAUCAUUAAUUUGUCAAUUGAAUCAUUAAAACUUAAAAUUGGUGGUGAGGUUGAGCUGUUUGAUUGCAUAAUUGGAUAUUGCAAGUUGUAUUUUCGAAUUACUGUGCUUUGCAUCCAAUCUGAGUACAAAACCAGUUUGUUUUGAUGUUUUAAAUAUGCUGAGAUAGUUUAAUUCGAAUUAUAUCAACCUUUGUGCAAUUUCACCUUUUGAAACCACCAUCUUAAGUUCAUUUUGUGUGUGCAAGUGGAGACACAGUGCUUAAUUUUGCGAACUGGAUCUUUUCAUAAGCAUUUGAUUGUAGCAAAAGCUAGGAUCUGUGAUGUUAAAAUAAAAAACAACAUGAAGAUGAUAUAUUCAGUGUAAAAAGCUUCAGACCUGUACAAUCCAGUUAAAACCAGUUUUCGAAAUAGAAAAUCAGAUUUAAACAUACAAACUGGUUUCUUUGUGUCAUGUCCUUUAACAGUUUUGAAAAUUCAGUCGUGGAAGUUGAAUUUGAUUUCAGUUUCGACUUGUUGUGGUUUUUCUUGCUUUAUUAAUCUGUUCUAGUUCUAUUCCUUAGGUUCUAUUUGAGUGCUUACAUUGAUCAAUAACUUUGUUUCUUGAUUGUCUUGUUGGCUGCUUGGUCUUGUCUACUUCACAUGUGAAAUCAUUUCUGCUGUUGAUUAUUGGAUCUUUUCUUUGCUUUCUUAAUCUGAUCUUGAGUCAGUUACUCGGUUGUGCUGUCAUUGUCAUGACCUUGAGGCUUGAUUGGGUUAAUGUCUGUCCUGUUUUAUUCAUCACUUUAUCAUUAGUCUAGUGAAUCCUGAUUUCUGGUCAUGUUUAGCCUAGCCAUUUCCUGAUUGAGAAUCUGAUUUCACUCUGGAUUUUGGGAUUUGAAAAGAAGGUAAGUGUGAAUGUAGCAUCUUAGGUAGUGGUGAUCCACAGGAUUCUCUGGCCUAGACUGAAAUUUCUCUUUAAACCUAUCCUUUGAGUGUGUAAAGCUUCUAGAGAGAAACCUGAGUGUUGUGAGAGCUUUGUGAGGCUGACUUGGCCUAUUUCCUUUGGUAAAUUGAGAGAGAAAAUCAGUUUUCAUCUAACUGUUUUUUUUUUUUUGGCUGCAUGUUUCAUUGUGCAGAGAAUCAAGAAUUGAUAAUAAAGAAAACACCUAGGUGCAUAGAAUAAUUAACAACCCAUAAUUUACAUGCAAAUUAUAUUACUUGAAAAGAAAAUGAUUUUAUUCGUAACAAUUACAUUUUUUUUAUUUUUAUUUGUAGUAAUUUAAUCUUCUAAAAAAGGAAAAUAAAAAAAAUGUACUAGAAAAUAAUCUAGAAAAUCAUAUAUUUAUUUUUUUAAUUAAAAAAAUUCUAUAAAUAUUUUCUCCCGUUACAACACUCUUUCAAAUGUAAUUUUUGCGCGUUAAAAUGAUUUUUUUAAAAUAUUAUCCGUUUUAAAUGUAAUUUAAAAAAUUACGUACACAUCUUGUAUACGAAUUUUUAAAAUUAAAUAUUAAAAAAUAAAAGUAAAAAUAAAACUUCAAAAUUUUUUCUCUCUCCGUCACUAAAAAAAUAAAAGCCCUAAAAUUCACAUUCAUUUCGGACUCAUUCAUUUUUAAUAAAGCUUUUCUUAUAGAAACUCUCUUUUUCUUCACAAGUCUUUCUGAGCACAACUUUUCCUCUCUCUAGUACCAUCUUGCUUUCUCUUGUACAAGUUUUUUUUUUGAUGAUUCUGUUGCUUGGAUAAGCCUUUUAAUCCAUCUGGGUCUUCUGUUUUUCGUUCUUGUGUCUUGCUUUAUUCUCGAAAAUCUCGUGUUUCUUGAUUUUUUACGCAGGUUUGUGAAAAAGAAAAUGUUAUUUAUUUUUUGUUGGGAAUUUGUGUAUUUUUUUAUUCUUUAAAUCCUUUUCCCUGUCAUAUUAGGGGUUGUUGAUUCCAUUUUUCAGUAUGGUUCUUUACACUUAAUCACUUUGGUCCAAUUUUUUUGGCUCUAUCAUUAACAUGUAGUUUUAGUCAUGAAUAAGUUUUCUUGAAAAAUUAGUGCUUUUGUGAUAAGUGAUUUAAGAAAUUUAUAUUUUGGUUUCUUUUGCUUGUUGAGGAAUAUAUAUAGUGAUUGAAUAGCACUUGAUUGUCUUUGCAGGGAAAAAUUAGGUUAUCUUUUUAGGUCGAAUCAGAUUUUGAGAAAUUUACUUCUUAAUCUGUCUCUGAAUCAAUUUACUUCUUAGUUAGAAUCUAUAAACUUGCUUGGGUUAUGUUAUAUUUGGAUGUCGUGUUUAUAUUUGAUUUUCUUAAAUAUAAUUUACUUCUUAAUCUGUCUCUGAAUCAAUUUACUUCUUAGUUAGAAUCUAUAAACUUGCUUGGGUUAUGUUAUAUUUGGAUGUAGUGUUUAUAUUUGAUUUUCUUAAAUAUAUACGUACCUAGCUUAAAUAUGAUUUUCAUAAAGAAAAAUCUACUUUGAUGGUUUGAUCUUUACAUUACAUUGCUCGUGUCAAUUUAAUGCGAGAGAUAUGAUAAGUGUUUCUUACUUGUGCAAGAUUAAUCAUUUAACGAAUUGACUUUUAAUUGUGUAUUUUGGUUAAUCUUAUCAUUUUAUACCAUUUGCAUGUUAAAACUUUAGUUGUUUAUUGUUCUGUUAUGGCCUUCUUGAUGAUGUCGCCUCUUUGCAGUUCCAAACUCCUUGUAUUUGCAGUCCCGUUGUUGUAGCCUUCUUCUUGUUGUUGUAUCAUCUUCAAGCUAGGUAACAUUGACUCCUCUUGCCACACUUAUUUUUAACAAUGUGCCUUUUUUCUUUUUUAAAUUUUACAUCAGAUUGAAAAUUUGUCCUAUUUGAUUUCAAUAGGCUUUUAGUGAUUGAGCUUGGUCACCGAUUUUAGCAUCCCUUAAGAUUCUUUUAUUCCCAAUGCAAAUUUUAGAUGCUUAUGAGUUGUUGCCUACAAAUAUAUUUUUGAACCUUGUAUUGAUUUGACCACCUAUAAAUAUAUUGUAUUUUUGAAAGCCCUAGAAAAUUCCUUUUAUUCAGAGUACAAAAUUCAGAUGCUUAUGAAAUUUAUUCAUGUGGAAUUGAUGGAUUUCAAUGUUGACUUUAUAUUGAAUUUAUGAAAAACAAAAAUUGCUUUUGAGCACAGUAUGACAAUUUGUGAGGCUCAUUUCGUGUGGAAAUAUGAAUUUCAAUGUGGGCUUUAUAUUGAAUUUAUGGAUAACAAAGAUUGUUUUUGAGCAUAGUAUGACGGUUUGUGAGGCUCAGUUCGUGUGGAAUUGAUGGAUUACAAUGUUGGUUUUAUAUUGAUUUUAUGGAUAAAAAAAUUGCUUAUGAGCAUAAUAUGACGUUUUGUGGGACUCAUUUUGUGUGGAAUUGAUGGAUUAAAAAGUGGGCUUUAUAUUGAAUUUAUGGAUAACAAAAAUUGCUUUUGAGCAUAAAAUGACGGUUUGUGAGGUUCAUUUCGUGUGGAAUUGAUGAAUUACAAUGUGGGUUUUAUAUUGAAUUUAUGGAUAACAAAGAUUGCUUUUGAGCAUAGUAUGACGGUUUGUGAUGGAUUACAAUGUGGGUUUUAUAUUGAUUUUAUGGAUAACAAAAAUUGCUUAUGAGCAUAAUAUGACGUUUUGUGGGGCUCAUUUCGUGUGGAAUUGAUGGAUCAAAAAGUGGGCUUUAUAUUAAAUUUAUAGAUAACAAAGAUUGCUUUUAAACAUAAAAUGACGGUUUGUAAGGCUCAUUUCGUGUGGAAUUGAUGGAUUACAAUGUGAGUUUUAUAUUGAAUUUACGGAUAACAAAGAUUGCUUUUGAGCAUAGUAUGACGGUUUGUGAGACUCAUUUUGUGUGAAAUUGAUGGAUUAAAAUGUGGGCUUUAUAUUGAAUUUAUUGAUAACAAAGAUUUUUUUUGAGCAUAGUGUGACGGUUUGUGAAGCUCAUUUCUUGUGGAAUUGAUGGAUUAAAAUGUGGACUUUAUAUUAAAAAAUUUCAUCUCAUGGUGGGACACAGACGUGGUUUUGGAGGAAACAACCAAGUUUCCUGAACUAACUGUGCAAGUAUGUAACUGCCUUGUAAUCUUUUAAUUUUAAAAAAUAAGAUACUUAUCAGAAUUUUUAUAUGUUGAAUCAUGCUCAGGAGAAUGGCCUUAAAUGAAUUUUGGUAUUAGCUAUUAUAUAGAAGCGUUGAUAUUCUUUUAUCAACUUGUUUUCUUUGAAAUUUCUGGAGUAAUUGCAGUCAGAAACAGAACAAUGGCCUCACAAAGGUUAGCUUUUAUUUGGGAAAAGGAAGGCCCCAAAUGUCGUCAUUUCCUGAGUUUGAAGGUCAGCAAUGCACAGGAAUAAUUGCUUCAUUGGUAUACAGAAAAUGCAAGGAGCAAUCCCCAAAUAAUUCAUGCAACUGAAAGAUGUGCAGCUGGCAUUCUGCAAGCCAUCAGUGACUUCUCUCAAGCCAACUGAAAGAAUGUGUCUCCAAGAGAUAUUGGAGAUUGCAUGUCGAGCGGAAAAGUUCUUGAUCCUAGCCAUGAAGUAGUGAUGUUCUACAUAUUUUGAGAGAGCAUUAUACAGGAAACUGUGUCCAUCAUUCAGGAGUUGAUCAGCCUAUACACCAAUUUAUAGGUACCUUAGAAAAGGCUUUUGGUGACAAGAAGGAUCAAUAAUAUCGAGUGUGGGUUGACGUUGCGGAGGUUAAUUUGGGUUUGUGGCUGGUCAAAUUCGACAAGUGGGAGAUAUCUGCCAUGGCAAGGGAAAUCGUGGUGCAACAGAAAUCAGAUGCUGCUAUCCCAGUGACAACAAUGUCACCACCUGAAGGAAACACUACAUUCAUUGAUGGCACAACUUGGUGUGUGGCUCGUCUUGGUGCUUCUGAAAAUGACAUGCAAAAUGCUCUUGAUUGGGCUUGUGGACUUGGAAUGGCAAAUUGCAAAGCUAUCCAGCAAGGUGGACCAUGUUUUGAACCAGGCACACUUGUUUCUCAUGCUUCCUAUGCUUUCAAUAGCUACUAUCAGACAAAUGGAAAUUCCGAUAUUGCAUACAAUUUUGGAGGCAUUGCUGCUUUGACCAAACGUGACCCUAGUAAGUCAAAAUUUUUAUCUCGUUAGGUUAAUUAUGUUAAGUGUUUUGAGAUGUUCUGAUAGUGAUUUAGAGUGUUUCAGGUUAAUUAUCUACGUAGCAUCCUUUCACUUUUGGUACCAUAGUGAUUUAGAGUGUAAUAAUGAAUAACAGUACUUGUGUGAUUGAUAAAUAUAAAUAUAUAAAUAUAAAUACACUUUCAUAUGCUGAUGAAUAAUGUCAAAGAUUUAUGGAACUUUUUGCCUGAGAAUGUUGUGAGGUGUUGAAAAGACAGGUGCUUAACUUAAGCAACUGCAAUUCCAUCCAAUCAAACCAUUUACUUUUUGUAUGGGUGCUUUCUUUUUAUGCAUUUGCAUAAGAUCAAAUUAGUUUGUUUUCUUUGAAAAACUGCUACAGGUUUUUGUAACUAUGAGAUGUGAUAUUCUUUUAGAAGAUACCAGAACGCUUACUUUUGAAUAAGCAAUUAUGCUAAGUUGUUAUAUAUAGUAUAUAUAUAGUAAAGUAGCUUCAUACUUUGGAUUAUAUUCCUGAUGUCAUCAUAAUGAGUACAUGUUACGCAGUAUUUGCAUAAUGCUUUACAGAAUGUUUUCGGGAAAUUAAGUGUAGAAUAUUUGAAUGUGGAAACAUCAAUAAUUUUGAAAUGAGCGGAAUUUUAAUAUUAGUGUAUGCUGAUAAUGUUGUUCAUACCGAUGUUGAAAGAGAAAUCAUCCUGAACUUCUGUUUUUCUUUUCUCUUUAGGCUAUGGAAAAUGUGUUUAUUCUACAUCUGGGUAUGAGAUCAUAGCAUAACUUACUAGUUUGAAAGAAGCUUGUAUAAAUAUUUUAUUUAAUCACUGUUUAUAUCGUUGUUGUACUUUUUUUGGACAGAUCUUUAGUUGCUUCUGGAGCACCUUUGAACUAAGGCUUUUGAAAAGCAAGAUGCAUUUGUAACUGGAUUUGCUUUGCAUGAAACUGAACUAUAGUUAACUGAACUGCACUAAUAGUAAAUUAAAAAAUAGUUCACUGGACUGAAUAGUAAAUUAAAAAAUAGUUCACUGGACUGCACUAUACUAUAAGUGAACUAAAAAAAUAGUUCAGUUCAGUUACUCUGAACUAUUUUUUAGUUUAGUUCAGUUUUCCUAAAUUAUUUUAUAGUGCAGUGCAGUAUAGUGUGCAGUAUAGUGCACUUUGCCCACCCUUACUUACAUAUAAGCUUUGUAUGAGUUGAUGGUGUGGUUGCAAUUUUGAAAGCCCUAUAACUUGAGGUGGGCAUUCACCCUUAAGGGAACUAUUGGAUAACACAUUGAUUUUUUUGGUUCACAGUGCAAGUUCCAUAAGGGAAUAUUUUGAGUUUUCCCACACGGAAAUCUCAAAUUGCGCUUUAAUUUUCUUGAUUCACUUUGCAAAUUCCAUAUGGAUAUAUUUUUAGCACUCCCAUCAUAAAUAGAGUUGUCAAAGUGUAGUCUGACUUUCUUAAUUUUGAGUUGCUCCUAUUCAGACAGUUGAUGAAUUAUUUGUAUAUCUUUUGAUGGUUUGUUGGGCCAAAUUGGAAGGAUUGCGGAUUAUAAUUUGACUUCAUAUAUAUUAAUUUUAUGAAUAUGAGUUGGCGUGCAUUCUUAUGAACAUCAAUGAUGGUUAUAAACUGGUGUUGGAUUUCUUCAACUGGAUGCGCAGCCUUCUUUGGAAGCCCUUUGCAUUGUUGUUCAGAUUGGUGUGGGUUCUAAGGACUUUAGGACACCUCAUAGACUGGUUUUUCGAGUUAUGGGAAAAACCUCUUUUGGAUGUUAGUAACUCGUUUACUCAAUUUACCAAGAGGUCAAAGACUCGGGUGCACAUCCCUUUGUGUUUGAUGUGUUGUUCCAAGUUCUUGAUAAAGCGGGUGGCUUCUAGAGGUUCAUAAAUUCUAUUUGAUAAAUUGGUAAACAACGACGUUCUUGUUUUUGUAGAUUCUUGUAAUUUGUUUCUAGCUAGGCUAUUCAACAGUUUUGAUGGGAAAAAGAUGACAAUUAAUAUGUUGAGAGAGUAUCCGGAAGUGGGUGUUUGUUGGAACACCAUGUCAUAUAAUAUUAUUCUCCAUUCUCUUUGUCAAUUGGGUAGGUUAAAAGAAAUGCAUAAUCUGCUCUUACGAAUGGAGUUUGUGGGGAGCUUUCCUUAUGUUGUAAGUUAUAGUGUUAUAACUAAUGGAUACUGUCAGGUUGAAAAGAUAAGAAAGGUCUUGAAGUAAGAAAGGUCUUGAAGCUCCUGGAAGAGUUGAAGGGAAAGGGGUGUAAGCCAAAUCAAUACACAUACACAAGCGUAAUUUCCCUUCUUUGUAAGAUUGGUAGAGUAGUUGAAGUCGAGCAAGUCCUGAGGGAGAUGAUAAACCAGAGGAUUUUUCCUGAUAAAGUUGUGUAUACAACUCUCAUCUGUGGAUUCGGCAAGUCUGGAAUGUUUCAGCUGCAUACAAACUGUUUGAUGAAAUGAGACAUAAGAAAAUAGUUCUUGAUUUCCUGACUUAUACUUCCAUGAUUAAUGGGCUUUGGGAAGCUGGAAAGGUUGUGGGAGCACACAUUUGGUGUAAUAUUUAGAAAAGGUUUGGAACCAAAUGAAGUUACUUAUACUGCUCUUAUAUUGUCAUUGCAAGGCUGGAGAGAUGAAAGAUACAUUCUCUCUUCACAACCAGAUGGUUGAUUAGGGUUUGACUCCUAAUGUUGUCACUUGUACAACGUUGGUUGAUGGCCUGUGCCUUCAACCAAAUGUCCGCACAUAUAAUGCACUAAUCAAUGGUCUUUGUACGGUUGGAAAUAUAGAGCAAGCAAUAAAGAUUAUGGAAGAAACGGAUCUGGCAGGGUUUUAUCCUGACACCAUUACAUAUACGCUCAAGGACGCUUAUUGUAAGAUGGGUGAAAUGGCCAAGGCUUGUGAAAUGCCGUGGGUUAUGCUUGGUAAAAGACUUCAUCCUACAAUUGUUACAUACAAUGUGCUAAUGAAUGGGUUUUCAGGUAAGGAAUGUUUGAAGAUGGUGAAAGACUAAUUAAAUGGAUUUUCGAAAAAGGUAUAAGGCGGAAUUCCACAACAUUCAUUUUUCUCUUGAAGCAGUAUUGUAUUCGAAAUAACAUGUGAAAGAGGCAUUCUUUUUGCAUAAAGAAAUGGUUGAAUAGGGAUUUAGUCUAACUGUUGCUUCCUGUAAUGCUCUUAUAAAUGUUUCUGUAAGAGGAAGAAAUAUUGUGCAAGCUAAGAAGCUAUUUGAGGAGAUGAGAACUCGAGGCUUUGUUGCAGAAAAAGGAGAUAAAUGAUAUUUUUAUUGAUGUAACCUAUGAAGAAAGGAACUGGGAAAUUGAGCUUUGUGAUGAAGCAAUAGAGAAAUAUCUUGUUAAGAGAAUUUAGUUGGCUUUUGCGUAUGGGACUUUAUGAUGGAAAUAUCUGGGUAGUAAUUGUUGUUUGUGUUGCUCUUUCUUUCUUGGUAGUUCCACUAAAAGUAACUUGCGGAUGAUGACACCAGUUACUCUCAUGAUUAGAGGAGUGACAUGGGACUUCCAGGUAUUUUCGAAUUCCAAAAUAACAGAACAUCACAGUAGCAUACACAAAAGACGAGGGAGCUUUUGAACGAUUUUCUUGGUUUGUUUUUAAUGAUUUACAACCGUAGCCGGUUGAAAUUUUAGUGUUUGAUUGUGCAGGCACGGUCUUCUUGACGAUUUCAGCAGUUUGCCAUUCCAACUUCUUUGUAUUUGCAGUCCCCUUGGUGUAGCCUUCUUCUUGUUGUUAUACCAUCUUCCAGCCAGGAAGAAUCAAGAGGGAAAGAGAAGUUGAACAAACAAUCGUGUUCUUCAGGCA